rnacentral:rRNA from 1 species
AACGAACGCUGGCGGCAGGGCUUAACACAUGCAAGUCGAACGCACCUUCGGGUGAGUGGCAGACGGGUGAGUAACGCGUGGGGAAACCUUCCCUGUGGUACGGAAUAGCUCCGGGAAACUGGAAUUAAUGCCGUAUACGCCCUUCGGGGGAAAGAUUUAUCGCCAUAGGAUGGGCCCGCGUCGGAUUAGCUUGUUGGUAGGGUAGUGGCCUACCAAGGCAACGAUCCGUAGCUGGGUUUUAGAGGAUGAUCAGCCACACUGGGACUGAGACACGGCCCAGACUCCUACGGGAGGCAGCAGUGGGGAAUAUUGGACAAUGGGCGAAAGCCUGAUCCAGCCAUGCCGCGUGAGUGACGAAGGCCUUAGGGUUGUAAAACUCUUUUGGCGGGGACGAUAAUGACGGUACCCGCAGAAUAAGCCCCGGCUAACUUCGUG